GUACAAUGUCCUACUGUGAUUAUUUCAGGAAACCAGCAACACGGGGACAGAUAAAAGUAAGAAGCAGGUUACCUUCGCUCUCUGGUUUUGGAACCACACCUGGACGACACGGACACUCAGCCCUGUCUCUGCAGCCAGAGUCUCUCUCACCUUGGAAAAAUUGAACGAGAAAUGUAGACACACUGGCAUCUCAGAGUAGGAGGUAGAACAUCUCCUAUAUAAUACAUGAGGAGGCCAAAAGACUGUAUCUGCUUUAGGAGCUGAAUAGUUUUUAAUGUUGAGCAUACACACAAACACGAGAACAUUGCUUCCCUUCAGGUAGAAAGAAAGUCCUUCACCAGGUAACUUUGGGUGUUUCAUGAAUAUCCAUAGUGACUGCUACCCCAAGUGAGCCCUGCCCAAAGAGAAUAAGAUGAGAGCCAUCUGGAACCCGGCAGAGCCAGGAAGUGUGGCCACAGGACUACAUUUUGGCCAACACAUAUGAGGAGAAAUGAUUUGAGCAACCCCUGGAUACAUCCUUAAAAAGCAGGGCGCUUGCCCUCCAUUUCCUCUUUCUCUACCUGGUGACUGGAAACAUGGUGACAACUGGAGCAGUCGCUUGGACACAGGAGAUGGAUAACAGAGCCACCCACCAGCCUUGCCUUGCUCACCUCUGGACUGUGAAGGAAGAGAAUAAACUCCUGUCUCAUUAA
rnacentral:antisense_RNA from 1 species